UGCUCCGGCCUUCCCGAGGAAGCGCCGGGAACGAGCACACGGGCGUGGGGUGGGGUGGUUUUUUUGGGAAAAGAAACCUGCAAUUUUCCCCUGUAAGUGGGUUGGGCGCGGCGAAAGCCAGCCAAGGCAAGGGUACUUUGGUUUCCCCCGCGCCACCAGUAAAUACUGUAACGGUAUUCAUUUGCCUCAGUGGGAGUGAGGAGCUCCCGCUGUUCUUUCCCCCACCCCAACAGCGGUGCUUUUACUUUCCUGGGCAAAUCCUGACCUCUAUUAGCCACCUUGGGAGUGCGGUGGAAUGUUCGGAGGGACAUGUUUAUUGUAUGAUUUUAUUUGUUUCAUAAAAAUGUUAAUUGUAAAAAAUGCAAAGCAAAAUACCCAAAAGGAUUAGCAAAAAGAAUAAAGCAGUAAAAUUAUCAGUUUAAAACUGCUGUUUUAUUCAAAGCUAUAGCAUUCAAAAGAUAAUUAAAAACAAUGAUAAGCCCUUUAAUCACCACCACCAUUAUUUUAUUUCUUAAGCACUCCCUCCUCCUGAGAGCCUAGGGCAGCUGGCAAAAACACAGCAUUAAAAACAAAAGUAGAUCCAGGGUGCUACCAGUAAGAAGGCUUCAUCUCACAGCUCCCAACAGGUCCCCCACCCCUGCAGUUGGCAAAACUUGGGUUGGCUGGUUGUGGGGAAGGCAGUCCUUGAAGGAAUGUGGCUUAGGCCUUAUUUAGGGCUUUGUACUGGCACCACCAGUCACUGGCAGCCAGAGCAGUGCUUUCAGGAUUAUUAUACAGUCAAACCUCAGUUGUCAAACUUAAACCGUUCUGGAAGUCUGUUUGGCUUCCGAAAAACGUUCAAAAACCAGAACACACACUUCCAGGUUUUUGACGUUCAGGAGCCGAAAAGUACAAUAACGGAGGCCUUCGGGAGCCGAGGUUUGACUGUAACGUGAUCCCAGUAUUCUGCACUAGUUGCAACUUCUGAAGUGUUUUCUAGGGAAGUCCAAUGUAGAGCGCAUGGCACUAAUUCAGGCAAGAGUUUAUCAGAGCAUAAACUCAUACCCUCCAAUAUUUCUCCAAUGAAAAUAGGGACGUCCCAUUCCAUAAUGAUCAUUUUACUGUUUAUACCCUAUACAUCUUACUGGGUUGCCCCAGCCACUCUCGGCAGUUUUCAACAUAUAUCAAAACAUAAUAAAACAUUAAAAAAAUAUUAAAAACCUUCCCUGUACAAGAUUUUCUUCAGACGGCGCAGAGGUUGGAUAACUCCAUACCCUCCAGCAUUUCUCCAAUGAAAAUAGGGACAUCCUAAAAAAGUGGGACAUUCCAGGAUGAAAUCAGAAACUGGGAUGGCUUAUCUAAAUCAGAAACAUCCCUGGAAAAUAGGGGCACAUGGAGGGUCUGUAAACUACUGUGGCCAAGUUAUCACAGUACAAAAAGAGCUGUAGUCUUCCUCCCCAAGGAGAAUGGUUUUCUUGAAGGUUAGGUACACCUUCAGAAAGUUAAGAGCUAGACCUUGGCAAACAGCGUGAGCACAACCUCCCUUAUCAUUAGCUCACCUGAUCUGAAGCCAGAGCAAAACUUCUGCUUUAACCUGUCUCCUGCCUGCCUGUUUUUAGAAAUAGACUAUAUGAAAUAGACUAUAGACAUUGCAUGUAUUUAGUUAAUAAUAUCCUGCCUUUCGUGUGAAUCCCAGAGUUGGUAAUAAUAAGAGUUGUACCUUGGUUUUCAAACAGCUUAGUUCAUGAACAACUUGGAACUCAAACAUUGCAAACCCGGAAGUAGGUGUUCCAGUUUACGAACUUUGUCUUGGAAGCCGAACGUCCAGCGCAACUUCUGCAGCUUCCUAUUGGCUGCAGGACACUCCUGCAGCCAAUCGGAAGCCGCACCUUGGUUUCUGAACAUUUCAGAAGUCGAACAGACUUCUGGAAUGCAUUCUGUUCGAAAACCAAGGUACGACCAUUAAAAAAACCAACAGUGAUAAACAAUAAAAGAAAGAAACAUCUAACAAACCCAAUGAAACAAUCAGUUGUAACAGAUAAUCAGCAGUACAUUAUAACCACAUUAUAGCUGCAUAGGCAUAUAGCUACUCAUAAGAGCCCAGGUAAAAAGGUGGGCCUUAGAUUGGCUCCAGAAUGUCAAGUCAAGUUUAUACCAUUUGCACCUCCAAAAUAAAGGUCCCACCACAGAAAAGGCCAUUGAAAACACAUGGUCCAUAACCAUGAUUUGCAUAGGUAGACAUUCCUCAAAACAAAAAUCGAGAUAUUCUUGUACCAUGUCACAAACCAUUUCCUCAGAUUUGGCCAUGGCGUCUUCCAUGCUGAGUGUGACACAUAAGCAGAAUCCUCAUAUGAAAGAUGGGUGCUAGUUGUCUUAUGUAAGCCACACUGUUUUGCAGAUAAUUGCCAUACACGAAUGCACAUUUUGAAUUCUUACUGUAGUCUUCACCAGCCCAGCUGGCUGGGACUGAUAAAAGUUAUAGUCCUAAAUGGAGGGCACCGGGCUGGCGAAGGUUGCACUCAGAUGGAUAUAUUUGAAUCAACACAUGCAUUUCAUCUAGGAGAGUCUAAAAGCAAGGGCAGCAGCUUAAUUCUGGGUAGGAUUAUGGAUGCCUGAUACACUCCCUCACUACUGGCUUUGCAAUUAACAGUGACAGAUGAGAAUCACCACUGCACUGAAACCUGAUUACCUGAAAAGGGCAGUAGAGUAGCAUGUUGAGAUGCUUAGAUGGACUGAUACUGUACAGGCCAGACUUUCCCUCCACCUCUUUCUAGUAGUAAUGGGUCUGUUCAACAGAAAAGCUUUCUGUGUGACUGUGUUUGGAUUUGGAGCAGUAGAUUCCCUGCUUCACUGGCAGUUAUGGGGUAGUUUUACAAAUAUAGGUUAAACAUUUGCCUGAGGCAGUAACUAGCUAAUGCAGAAGGCACACUAAAUAUAGACAUGUUUUGAUUUCUGUCUCCAUUGCACUCUGCUGUGCAAAUAAAAUAUGAACUGGCUCUCCUGAACUCAGAAGGUUCAGAAAGGUUUUCGUUUUUGUUUUUCUAGAGACUUCAAUAGCAUGAAACGGUCUUCAUAUGAGUCAUCUUUUCUUUUAAGAGUCUUCACCACUAAGGCAUGUAUCAGUUUCAUUUUAAAUGAACACAAAACCAACAUGAACUGGAGUGGACAAUCCUCUACCGCCUUGACAGCAUUUCCAAGAGACUCUCCAGCGAUUAGCCACACAAUUUCUUUUUUGUUGAAAGAAAUGUAUUGUCUUGAAUGAAAAGAAUCAACUACAAGAAGUUAGCAAUUGAGGAAUAUCAACUAAAUACAGACUAAAACAGAUCAACAACAAUUCAAUAUGAUUGGGGGGGAAUUAAGGUUCAAAUAAG